rnacentral:lncRNA from 1 species
GCCAUACAUCUGUGCUCUGUGAUCCAUCUUUAACAAGCUAUGACAACAAAUCUAUAUUAUAUUUACUAAUUUAAUGAGCUAUGGGUCGCAAUUCUAUAAAUUCAAUUAAAUUAUGGAUGUAUUAACUAAAAAGUAGAAAGAAAUAUAAUAAAAAUAAUUCUAUAUUACCCUAAAUGAAACUCAAUUAAACUACGGAUGUAAUAAUUAAUAAGUCGAAGGAAAAAAAUCAACCACAAUUAUAUAUUAAAUUCAAUCAAACUCAUUAAUUAAAACUAUGGAUGUAAUAAUUAAAUAGGAAAAAUAUAAUCAAACUCAAUUCUAUAUUACAUUAAAAUGACAAAUAUAGCACUGUAAUGGUUAUAAUAUAACCAUAGAAUUUUAUUUACAAAAAUAAUCCAUCUCUAGUUAUUUUCUCUCUCUUCCCUCCUUUCUCUUCUAGGUUUAGAUCUAGAUCUAGAUGACAACCUAAUGAAGCUAGAAAUGAUGGAUAGAAGUUGAAAAAGAAGGUUGGAAUGGCACAAACUUAC